UUGCAAUGAUGACAAUCUUAGGACACCUUUGGAAAUAACCAUGAAAACAAACCCAUUUUUAUCUGAGCACG